GACAGAGGAUGCAAGCGUUACUCGGAAUUACUGGGCGUAAAGCGUGCGUAGGUGGUUUGUUAAGUCUGAUGUGAAAGCCCUGGGCUCAACCUGGGAAUGGCACUGGAUACUGGCAGGCUAGAGUGCGGUAGAGGAUGGCGGAAUUCCCGGUGUAGCAGUGAAAUGCGUAGAGAUCGGGAGGAACAUCUGUGGCGAAGGCGGCCAUCUGGACCAGCACUGACACUGAGGCACGAAAGCGUGGGGAGCAAACAGG
rnacentral:rRNA from 1 species